AGUUAUAACAGUGCAUAAUUAGCUAUGCUGAUAGUCUUCUCUGCCUCUUCAUUUGAGUCACAGAUACCUGUGAAGAUAUUACUUAAUUUUGAGAAAAGAUAGAAGUUCAUGAUGCCAUGUUCGGACUAUAUGGUUUCAGCUGCUUGUCUGAAUUCCAUCUGAAGUCCAGAAAACCUGUCUUUUAUCUUUCCUAGCUGAAAGGCAAGUAUACAAGAUGCUCUGAAAUGACACAAGGAGGAGUUUUGUUUGUCUAAGUGUAGCUUUGAAGAGAACCAUGUGUGGAAGAGAUACAAGUUCAAAUUCUUAUCAGCCGUAAAAUUAACUGUGUGCUUGGGCAAGGUGCUUUCACUCAGAGAAGCUUAUCUCUCAGGAUUGUUAUAAAGAUAAAAGAGAAUGUUAUCAUUUAUGAUCCUCUGAUCUAAAGUUGAACAUGGUAUUUUAAAAAAGUGACAGUACCAUCCACUGUCAAGCUCACUGGUUUUCCAAUAGGUCUCUCCCUGUUCUUCACACAGAAGCAUUUGUGUCCCUGUACCUUCCAAAUUUUAUUGAACUCUUAACAAAUUCUACAAGACACGGCUUCCUCAGACAUUGUGAAGAUGGGAGAAGGUGACUCUAAAUGAGGAUUAAACAAUAAUAAGAACAUUUGAAAGGAUCACAAAGGACAAAGCAUUCACUCAUACUCCUUGACCACUUUAUAAUUCAAUAAAAGGCAAAACCCUAAACAUA